CCUGUUUCUCAUUUCCCCCAAGACCCAGAGGGGAGGGGCUCUGCCUGGGCCCAUAAAGCAUAUGUCAGUCCCAGCACUGUAAUGAGAGUUCUGUUUGACCUGGAUGAAGCCUAAAAAGUCAAAUAAUCAGACUGUUCAUAAGUGCUUGGCUUCCCCAGCCAAGCCUUUGGUGGGUCAUGGAGGCACAUCUCAGAGCCAAGCCCCCAGCCAUGCCGUCUCAGAGCCGAGCCCCUAGCCAUGCUACGGAACAAUGUCGUCUCAGAGCUGAGCCCCAAAUGUGCUAUGGAACUGCGUCAUCUCAGAGCUGAGCCCCCAGCCAUGUCAUCUGAGCCGAGCCCCAAGCCAUGUCGUCUCGGAGCCGAGCCCUCAGCCAUGCUAUGGAACCACGUCAUCUGAGAGUUGAGCCCCAGCCAUGUCGCCUCUGAGCUGAGCCCCCGACGUGCUAUGGAACCACAUCAUCGCAGAGGCAAGCCCCCAGCCAUGCUAUGGAAUCAUGUCUCAGAGCCGAGCUCCUGACAUCCUACAGAAUCACAUCUUAUAGCCAAGCCCUCGACGUGCUACGGAAUCGCAUCUUCUCAGAGCCGAGCCCUCAACGUGCUAUAGAAUCAUAUCUUCUCAGAGCUGAGCCCCUGACGUGCUACAGAACCACGUCAUCUGAGAGUUGAGCCCCAGCCAUGUCGUCUCAGAGCUGAGCCUGUGGGAAUGCCACUGGAGCCACAUCAUCUCAGAGCCUCACAUCGCCUGUGCUACCAGAGCCACGUCAUCUUGGGGCUCAUAAACUCUAAAAUUUAAUGAAAAGAAGAAAAGAACCCCCUGAAGAGAGAAGUGUCAGGACUGUCGGAAGCAGGAAAAGAGACCAGCACAUGGCAAUGAGGACAAACAGAUCAAAGAGGAAGAAAGACAGAAGGAAACAACAGGGUCAGCGCCCAGACUGCUGCACUGGGCAGCACAGCAUGGGGAGGAGGUGAGCAGCCCUCAGUGGUGAGAGAAACAGGUUGAGACUAUUUAGAAAAGCUGGACGUGCACAAGUCCGUGGGGCCGGAUGCGCUGCAUCUGAGGGUGCUGAGGGAGCUGGCUGGUGUGAUUGCAGAGCCAUUGGCCAUUCUUUGAAAAUUCGUGGUGAUCCGGGGAGGUCCUGGAGAAUUGGAAAAAGGCAAAUGUAGUGCCCAUCAUUAAAAAAGGGAAGAAAGAGAACCCAGGAAACUACAGACCAGUCAGCCUCACGUCAGUCCCCGGCAAAAUCAUGGAGCAGGUCCUCGAGGAAACCGUUUUGAAGCACUUGGAGGAGAGGACGGUGAUCAGGAACAGUCAAAGGAUUCACCAAGGGCAAGUCAUGCCUGACCAACCUGAUUUCCUUCUAUGAUGAGUCCUGGUGCGAGGCUCCAGCGAGUGCUAAUUGUACAGACGGUUUGGUGAGUCUGUGUUAUGAAGAGGCAGAGGGCAAAGCAAGAUCUGAGGGGCACUGCCUUUCAUAAAGAACCCCUUCUGCAUUCAGCGUGAAUGCCUGGUGCAGUUAACAGCUUUUCUUGUAUGCCCUCAGACCAGUCACUCUGGGCCUGACAAGUCAACACGCAUUCAGACUGCCGGCACUGCUGCUAAUGACUCCAUUUCCACUGGGUAGGCCAGGUGUGUGAGCACAAACAUGACGAGUGUGAUGUGUGGCUGAGUGUAAGUGUGAAGCUGCAAUGUGUGUGUGUGCGCGCAUGAGAGUGUGUCAUGAUGCAGGCAUGUGGGGUACAAUGUGUGUGUGUGUGCACACCAUGAUGUGCUAUCUGUCCAUUACAUGUGCUGCUGCUCACUAUGCCCUGCGCAGCUGGGCUGUGCUCUGGUCCCCUCUCUAAGGGGACGGGGAGGAGGGCUAAGCCUGGCAUGUUUUUGUGUAUUUAUUACAUGGUUAGAUGGGCCCUGGCUGUGCCCAGCCAGUGCCAUCACACGGGUUUGGGUGUGUAAAUAGUACAACCAUAUCACUGCUCCCACCACCUUUGCCCUCAAUCCUGACCCACAGCUCCCUGCUAACCCUGCCCUGGGCUCCCCCAGUUCCGCCAAAGGGCUACCUUCUCACAGGAGCCCAGACUUUGCCUUUCCCACUGAUUAAGACACUCCAGAUCCAACCAGCAGGCAGGACCAGCUGGGGCAGCAUUUCUGACCGUCAGCAGUAUCUGUCCAGCUGGAUGGAAGCUGUGAAAAUGCAAAGAGACUCACUAACCAGGCUGUUGCUGUUGCAAUUCAUGGUUUCUUUUCCCUCUCGUUCCCAACCAAAUGUUAAUUUUAUGGAGGUCUUUAUAAAUCUUCCAGCCUUCCCCUGUCCAUGGGCUACAUAGAUUUCAUCUUGUUGAGAGGUGACACUUCUGGCCUUUGGUACCAGGCUAUCAAUUUAAUGCACUGAGUGUAAUAAAAAACACAGGACCAUAUUAACUCACCAUUACUCUGCUGCUCCUUCCUUAACCCUUUCCACACUGGUCUGAAAACCCCCUUGCCGAACAAGUGCCUCUCACACUCCCUGUGCAAGGAUCUUGAGCAUGAGGGGCAGCAGACGGGUCAAACCGCCUGAGUUGGCCCCAGGGCUGGAAACUUUGGGAGCCAGCUUCUGCCCUCUGCAACCACCAUCCCACUGAGGGGCAGAAGGCACAAGAUUUGCAUCACGAGAGCCAAAAGCCAGCGUGUGCCCCUCUGAAGGCUUGUCCCUGGGUGGUCUCCCCCAGCCUCUUUCCUGGAAGAAUCCCAUAGCGCUGUUAGAGCCACAACUAGCAAAAGAAAUGGGAGCUGAGCCUUCCUGUCACAGACAGGCGUUGAAUGGCCAUGCUGCCUAGCCCAUCCAGGGCCCGACUCGGGCCACUGAACAGCGUUGGCAUGCAUCCUUAUCAGCUUCCUAAGGGCUGAACAUUGCACCUUCCCCCAAGGCCAGACUAGCGCCGCCGAUCCAUAGAGGGCAGUGUGCUGCAGGCCAGGCAGCACUUGUGGUGAAUGUAUGAGGUGCCUAGUUCAUGCUGUCCUGCCCUGUCCCUUCAUCCCCUGCUGAUGUCCAGUGAUGGAGCAGCCAGAGGCCCCAGCACUAUCCCAGACCCCUCUCUGCUGUCUCCAUGUGUCUCC